GGAAAUUCAUGAAUGGCUGGCUCUGUACAGUUCUUUCCUUCAUGUGUCCCAUUAGCUAAUGCCAUCAAUAUUCUAUUCCUCCACGUCUCUGAUGGAACACGUGUGUCUGCAAUACUUGAUUCUUGGCCCCGUCUGGAGAGCAGGCUGGACAUGCACCAGACGAAGAAGAGGAUGGCGCAGAUGAAGCCCAGCUGCUGCAGCAGCAUCUCCCGCCGCUUGCGAACUUUCCUCAGCAGCAGUAGCAUGGUCUUCGGGCGGGCGAGCGGCGCUCCGUCCAGCUCCAUGGGCGGCGCGAGGCCGGCGGGCGGCUCGCUGCGUGUGGGGCUCAGUCCCG
rnacentral:lncRNA from 1 species